rnacentral:rRNA from 1 species
UACGGGGGGAGCAAGCGUUGUUCGGAUUUACUGGGCGUAAAGAGCGCGCAGGCGGUCGUUCAAGUCGCGUGUGAAAGCCCCCGGCUCAACUGGGGAGGGUCACGCGAUACUGAUCGACUCGAAGGCAGGAGAGGGUAGUGGAAUUCCCGGUGUAGUGGUGAAAUGCGUAGAUAUCGGGAGGAACACCAGUGGCGAAGGCGACUACCUGGCCUGUUUCUUGACGCUGAGGCGCGAAAGCUAGGGGAGCAAACGGG